CGUGACCCGGUCUGAGUGCGGGCGCUGGAAGGCGGAAGUGGAGCGGAGUUAGGCGCCGCUGGUGUGGCCGCGGCAGUUCCAUUGUGAUGAUAUGGCGUCUGCCAGCUCCAGCCGGGCGGGGGUGGCCCUGCCUUUUGAGAAGUCCCAGCUUACUCUGAGAGUGGUGUCAGCAAAGCCCAAGGUGCACAACCGCCAGCCCAGAAUCAACUCCUAUGUGGAGGUGGCAGUGGAUGGACUCCCCAGUGAGACCAAGAAGACUGGGAAGCGCAUCGGGAGCUCUGAGCUUCUCUGGAAUGAAGUCAUCGUUCUGAAUGUUACAGCCCAGAGUCAUUUAGAUUUGAAGGUCUGGAGCUGUCAUACCUUGAGGAAUGAACUACUGGGCACUGCCUCUGUCAACCUCUCCAAUGUCCUGAAGAACAAUGGCGGCAAAAGUAUGUAUGAUUCAUCUCUAGUCAGGGAAGAUAUGGCAACCAGACCAGAGGUUGAGUGUUGCUCUGCCCCUUAG
rnacentral:lncRNA from 14 species